ACAGACAAGCUCACUGACACACACGCUCACUACAGACAAGCUCACUGACACACACGCUCACUACAGACAAGCCCACGAUCACACCCAUGCUCCUUACAGACAAGAGCUCACUAACACACACACAUAUGAUCCCUACAGACAAGCUCACUGACACACACACACACACAGAGGCUCCCUCACUAGCAGGUGCGCACACACACACAGAGGCAGACAGUCACUGACACCGAGGCAAACAUCCACACAUACAGACAGGCAGACAGCCAC